ensembl:antisense 4933431E20Rik RIKEN cDNA 4933431E20 gene
AGGCGCAGCUGCUGCGGCUCCUGAAAUCCUCCGGUGUGAACUUCUCCCAGGGCUGUUGAUGCUUCAUCUACUCUUCUGGCAGUGGGGGCCUGGACCUUAGUUACCCGGGAAGCGUGAGUCAUGUUGCACAGUUGAGCUGGCACAUAAAACUACGAGUUUAUAGAACAAGGAAUUGAAGCUUGGAGAAGAUUGAUGGACCACUCAAGUUCCCUGGAUGGUCCAGGAUGCAGACUGAGGAUGGCCUAAAACAUUAGUUUUGCUGGCUCCCUGUGCUUGGCUAACUUUAGAGCCUCUUACCUUGCCACAGUCUUUUCUAUGAAGGACAGAGAGCCAAGGAGUGGACCAACAUGCCUGAGUUUACACAGUGGACCUGAGGACCGUCACCUCCCAGUGCAAUGUUCCUGUGUACUGCCACUGAAGAGACAGGUGGGAGGGAGCUCAAGGUUGACUUGCCUAACAACCAUUGCUUGAAAGACAAAGCUCCCAAGGAGAGCACAAAAUACCUCACUCGAGACUCCUCUGCAUCACCAACCAGUGUGAAGAAAGCCUGCAGCUGUCAGCAGAGUAUUCUUUGUCUCGGUGACACGCUGUGCCUACAGUUGGACUAGAAACUUUGGAUUAGGGUGUGAGUCGUGCCCCAUAGGACAGAGGUGGUGCAUGUAGCCUCAUUUUGGAGUUUAUUUAGAGAGGAGAAAGAAUGUACCAUAGUCCCCAAAGGCUCUAGGUUACAGUGAAUUCUCUUUAGUUCAGUUAUAGUUUAGUUUAGCUUGGUUUGGUUAGCUGUGGUUCCGUUCUGUUCCGUUCUGUUCUGUUCGGUUCAGUUCGGUUCAGUUGCAGAGUUGUUGCUCUUUCAUGCUUUGCAUCCCAACUCCCUGCUCUCUCUUGGCUUUGGUUCCCAUCAGGUCCAGAAUAAAUGGCAAGGAGAGGGUCAUAGAACAAGUUAAACGAUGCUUUUUAUUGGCAGGAUUGGGACUAAAGAGAUCAGGAGUAAGACUGGGAAUAAGUAUGCCAACUUAGGGUGUGGGGUAAAAUAAAUAGUAACCGGUGAGGGUCUCCAACCCAAUGAGGUACCAUUUGCCUCAGUGUCUGGACCUGUUCAUCUUCUUUGCUUUGUGAUCCAGGAUAUGUGGCUUGCCACUAACUGAAAGAGGACUUCCAGGGGCUCUAACUGGGUACCAAAUACUCCAUCUUGCACAUGAGAGGUCCUUGGUCUUAGAGGUAUUCGAGCUGGUCUCUAAUGAGUCAUCUGAAGGGAGAAAACAAUUCAGAUGGGGCUGGUUCCUAGUGAGGGACUCCCCAGAGUUUAUAUCACCAAUGCGAUUAGAACUUCAAGACACACCUGAACGGAUGGAUCUGAGUCCCCAGAGGAAUAGCCCAUGCCUAGUGUCCCCAGCUCUCCCUUUCUCACCCCAGGAGAAUUAAAUUCCUCUGAAUAGGAGUCAGGAUCCCAGAGCUUCCUCACCCCCAGCAUCCUUCUGACAGCGUCCAGCCGGGCCUGGAUCCGUGGAGCCUCCUGUGGACACAGCAUCUGCAGCUCCCCAGGUCUCAUGUGAAGUAGCUGGCUUCCCAUUAGGGACCCGAGGGUCCUUACAGUGCUGUAAAUAACAAUGGUAGAAUCCACCAGAAGUAGGGUGGGCAGAUUCUAGGUCUUAGUAUUUGUGUAGAGAAGGAAAGUUGGGGUUACAGGAAUUAGGUAUCUGCAGGUACAGGGAUACACCUAGUGGUUUGGUCUCAGUGAACCACAGAACUCCGAGAUUUGAGGGCAGAAACACUUUAAAAAAGACUGGUCUGGAAGGGAAGGGUGGCUAAGGUGGGCAGCCCAAGUUCUUCCAGAAUUUGCUACCCUUGACUCUUUCUCUUUCACUACAUAUGGCCUCUGCACUGGGUGACCUACCCUAGGCUCAGACAAGCAGCUUUCAUUCAGCAGAGAAAGCCUAAGAUGGAGUCAUCAAGUACAGUGGAAGCUAGGUCACACUCUCUAACUCUGAGAGUGAAUGGAGCCUGUGGUUCUCCCAUUUACAGGGCUCACCGCCCCUCAUCCCCCAGGGGACUGGUCACUCACACAGUGGAGAAGUUCUCUGCUUGUAGCCAGGCUGUGACCUCCUCAGGCUUUGAGCUCAGGCGAAGCAUUGGGGCCUGGAAUCAAGGAGCACUAGAAGUCAGAGGUCAUCCCAUCUUACAAACAUACACAGCCUCCUGUAUUGGGUCCCUUCUACUGAGAUCCCAUCAGGAUGCUUAUCUCACCUUCUGGUUUCCUAGUUCGGCAGGGACGCUCACCUAAUCUUUGUUCAGACCCUAUAAUGAACUUGGCACCGAGGAAGCAUGCAAUGAUAUUGAUUAAACUGAACUAAGAUUGUC